rnacentral:rRNA from 1 species
AGUGAACGCUGGCGGUAGGCCUAACACAUGCGAGUCGAACGGCAGCACAGUAAGAGCUUGCUCUUACGGGUGGCGAGUGGCGGACGGGUGAGGAAUACUUCGGAAUCUACUUUUUCGUGGGGGAUAACGUCGGGAAACUUACGCUAAUACCGCAUACGCCCUACGGGUGGAAGCAGGGGAUCUUCGGACCUUGCGCGAUUGAAUGAGCCGAUGUCGGAUUAGCUAGUUGGCGGGGUAAAGGCCCACCAAGGCGACGAUCCGUAGCUGGUCUGAGAGGAUGAUCAGCCACACUGGAACUGAGACACGGUCCAGACUCCUACGGGAGGCAGCAGUGGGGAAGAUUGGACAAUGGGCGCAAGCCUGAUCCAGCCAUACCGCGUGGGUGAAGAAGGCCUUCGGGUUGUAAAGCCCUUUUGUUGGGAAAGAAAAGCAGCAGGUUAAUACCCCGCUGUUCUGACGGUACCCAAAGAAUAAGCACCGGCUAACUUCGUG